UACGGGGGGAGCAAGCGUUGUUCGGAUUUACUGGGCGUAAAGGGCGCGUAGGCGGCGCAACAAGUCACUUGUGAAAUCUCCGGGCUUGACCCGGAGCGGCCAAGUGAUAUUGUCGUGCUAGAGUGCGGAAGGGGCUACUGGAAUUCUCGGUGUAGCGGUGAAAUGCGUAGAUAUCGAGAGGAACACCUGCGGCGAAGGCGGGUAGCUGGGCCGACACUGACGCUGAGGCGCGAAAGCCAGGGGAGCGAACGGG
rnacentral:rRNA from 1 species